AUUCUGAGAAGCACAGUACAUUUGAAUGUCAGGUGCCAGAGACCAGGAUGGGGAAACUUUUUGCCCCAGUGGGCCAGAUCCUUAACUGGUUCCACCCCUGUAGGCCAACUCUGACAGGUGGGUGGGACAACCCACAUGUCAAUCACCUGAUGAGAUUAUGUCAUCAGGUGAUUGAUAGUGCAAAACAGUUUUAAUCGAAACUGCCGCUAAAGCAGAGGUUUUGGGGUUUUUACUCCAAUUUUACUAGUGGGUUUACUUUAAGCUACCAAUUAUUCCUUUGUAGCCAUCUCAACACCUGCCCCAUACCUGAUGUUGCCUUUGAUGUCAGGUGUGAGGCAGGUGGUUUAGAGAAUUAGUUGUGAGCACCCAAAGAUCUGGCUGGCCAGUGUAGCAAACAGGAGAUGGCUCCAAAGGGGAUUAGAUAAAUUCACAGAGGACAUGACUGCUCAUCAUAAUGGCUGUAUGCUUUCUCCAGAAUUGGAAACAGCAUGCCUCUACAAACCACUUUCAUGGAACACAAGCAAGAAGGUGCUGCUAUAAUCUUGUGAGCUUUCCCAAAGAUCUGACUGAGCAACGUGGAAAAUCGGAUGCUGAACUAGAUGGAUUCUGCUGGGCUUUCCUCAGCUGUACAUCGGUAUGAUCCUUACAUUUUAUAAGUUAUAUCUCAUUGGCUCUUGUGAAAACCUUGUGUGAGGUCACUCUUAUUCCCAUUACACAGGUGGAAUGACUGAAAGUGAUUGACUUGCCUGUGGAUUUUUAUUGCUGCGGUAGAGUUGUAGCUAAGUCUACCAGAUGUGGAUCCCUUUUGUGUAUUGAACGAUGUGCAUGUUAGAAGCUUGAAAUGUAACAAGGCCGUUCUCCUUUUCAAGUCACUUCCAUUUUCCAGCUGUUUGCAGUGGGUCCCUGUGGAAUGCCAGAAUUUGGUGCCCCUCGCUUCUCGCUUUCCAUUCUACAUCAUAGUUGUGGCAAGCAAAGGCAAAUAUAGGGAUCACGACCAGUUCUGAUGCACUGGGAAACUUGACCACAGAAUUCUGAAGCAUUCCAUGUUCUAGGUAAGCAAUCAGUUCACCUGGAGCAUUGUUGGCGCUGCUUUAUUAGUUCAUGCAACAUAAAAUGCACACAAAAGACUCUCCUGCAAGGGGAGAAAUUGGCCACAGCAAUUUGCCCAGCAGUAGUGAUCUUCCUAAUUGAGGAACCUCUAAUAAACUCUUCACAAACCCAAUCCCCUGCCCCCACUGUAAGCCUGAAAACCAAUGUGAUAAUUUAUGGACCUCACCAUUGUUCCACAACAUAUUCCUACUGUCCAUAAUGAGCAUCAUGUAUUGCCUGAUAAUUCUUUCUCUGUGUCUGAAUAAGGCUAAAAUGGUCCUUCCAUGUUAGUGUUUAACAACCUAUGAAACGGCACUUGAUGUUUCCAGAAUGAGCAGUUCUUCUGGCCCUCAUUCUGUUUCAUAAUAGCUGUUCAAACAUGCUCCAUUUCCUUCAAAUAUAUGCUCUAAUGUAUCCAAAUCUGGAUUAAGUUUCAGACUGCAGGGUCUUCAUCAGCAAUUUUCACUUUCUGUUGUGUCAACAAAAGCAGCAAUAUCAACAGUUUUAUGUUUUUGUUCUCUUUGCCUCUCGGAUUUGCGAUAAAUCUUUCAGCAUUCUUUGAAGCUUAGCCACACUGUUGGGAAGCUGUUUUCCCCACUCUUGCUAUUUUUGCAAACAUAUUCUGCCCGCCUGCCUUGGAAGACUGAGUUGUCUGCUAGUGUUCCUGUACAGGAACAUUCAUAUUCAGCAGUAUCCAUACUGUUUAUUUUAUAAGGACGCUGGAUUUCUGGCCGCUUCCCACAACAGCAUCCCAUUGCGUAGAAUGCUCGGUAUUUAUACAAUGUUUUUCCUAAGCACGUUGCAUGCAUUAUAUUUAAUCUUUAUCACAACCCUAUAAACUAGGCCAGUAGUAUUAUCCCCAUAUUAUAGAUGGCAGCUGAGUCCUAGAAAGAGAGAAAGCUAAGGCCUGCUUCACACACAACUGUUUAUUUUUAUAUUUUAACGGGAAUAUAUAAUGGAGAAGAGAGAAACUGUGCGUGCAUCAUCACAAUGUGUGAAAAUAAUUUGUUAAGAUGGGCUGGCUCAAUACAUUUUGCUGCCUGAAGCAAAGACAAGAUAGCUCCCUCCCCCAAGGCACAUACAGAAGCCAGGUUGAACCUGGCAAAAGGACAGUAUCUUCCACGGGACUUGAGGGCAGCAGGCUAGCAUUAUAAUGUAACAUACAGUAAUUAUAAUAUAAUAUAAUAUAAUAUAAUAUAAUAUAAUAUAAUAUAAAUGUUUUAAUUUAUAUCCUGCCCAUCUGGCUGGGUUUCCCCAGUCACUCUGCGCGGCUUACAACAUAAAGCACAACAAAAGAUCAAACAUUAAAAAACAAGAUAUCCUAUACAAGCAACAAACAAACCAACAAAUCAAUAACACCAAUAGCAACAAUAGCCAGUUGCCCCAACCCAAGAGUUGUUCCAGCAAUGUCCCAGUGGCCUCCCAGGAGUCUCUUUUAGCAUAGGAGUGUCAGGGCAGGCCACAUGGUACCCACAGCUCUGUUGCUUCCCUGCACCUCAGCAUCUGCCACCUGAGGCAGCCCGCCUCACUUUGCCUCAACAUAGGGCCAGCCCUGUUGUUAGGUAUACUCUAUAAGAAACCAGUGAUAUACAGUGCUGGCUUUCCAACAGGCACACCCUUGGCAUAGCCGGUUUAUUUGAUGUCCAUAUCGGAGUUUGUGUAUGUUAGGAUGAAACGUGGCACCAUGCUUUGGACAGGUUUCUCCUUCAGGCUGAUUGCCAUCACACACAAGUGGAUUUGUCUGUGAUGCUACUGAAAAAGGAAGUCAUCAGUACUGAUUCACUGAGAGAUGCUUCAAACGUGCACUCAGGAUAUGGUGGUGCUCUUUUUUGUCUUCAUUACUCCAAUCCCCAUUAUGCUGGAGUGCGUAAGACCAUCUUCCACAUAUUUGAGACUUCUCCUGGUGCCUCUUGGACAAUCCUAAUUUGGCUUCAUAAACCAAGAUAUGAGCUGCAGACAUACCCUAUUUUUAAAGCACACAACUUUCCCCAAAGAAUUCUAGGAACUGUAGUUUGUUAAGGGUGCUGGAAAUUGUAGCUCAGUGAGUGGUAAAAUACCAGUUCCCAGUCUUCUUUUGGGAAAGCAAAACGCUUUAAGGAAUAAGCCUUGUGUGCUACCUUGCUGCUCCUUUUGCAGAAGCUGGGAAAGAAGCCAGGAAGCCUUUAGUUAACUAUAGUUCCCCAUUUCCCAUCACAUCUGAACUAUGGUUAAUGGCCCUCAAACAAGUCAGGAUAUGAAACCAACUUUAAAUCCAUCCAUGGCAUGCUUGUCCAAAUGCAGCCAAUGAGUCAAUUCCCUCUUCGGCAGUUACAGAAAUAGUAAUGACCUUUCCCCGCACUCUAGUAAUGAGACCAGCAAAAUUAUGGGCUGUAGUGUACACCUUGAGGGGACAGCAAGAGCAGAGGCUCAGGCCUUCAAAUUCCUGCCAUCUGCAUCCGGCAAGACUACCAAACAGCCUGAGAGAAUUCUGCCUUAACAAGAAAAGAAAAGAAAAGAAAAGAAAAUGCUUUUUCACCUUUAUUUUUCAUGAAAUAAUUUAAAUUGCAAACAGCCUUGAUUGCAUUGGCAGAAAGACAACUAUAUAUGCCGCAAACAGAAUAAACAGUAGGCAACAUGGCGCUGUGCAGAUGUUGUUGUUGGACUCCCAACGCCCCAACCAUCAUGGCCCAAGGUCAAGAAUGGAGGAAGCUGGGAGUCCAGUCACAUCCAGAGGGGACCAUGUUGUCAAUCUCUGAUUAUUCAGCAUGGUACCCUCCGAAUAAAAGGGACGCAGGUGGCGCUGUGGGUUAAACCACAGAGCCUAGGACUUGCCGAUCAGAAGGUCAGCGGUUCGAAUCCCUGUGACGGGGUGAGCUCCCGUUGCUCGGUCCCUGCUCCUGCCAACCUAGCAGUUCGAAAGCACGUCAAAGUGCAAGUAGAUAAAUAGGUAUCACUCUGGCAGGAAGGUAAACGGCAUUUCCGUGCGCUGCUCUGGUUCGUCAGAAGCAGCUUAGUCAUGCUGGCCACAUGACCCAGAAGCUGUAUGCCAACUCCCUCGGCCAAUAAAGCGAGAUGAGCGCCGCAACCCCAGAGUCGGUCACGACUGGACCUAAUGGUCAGGGGUCCCUUUACCUUUACCUUUACCUUUACCCUCCGAAUAUUUGCCUCUUCUGAGCUGAGAAAUGCACAAUCAACAUUUGGUAUCGAAAGCACUGCAAACCUAUUUUCCCGUCAAACCAGUAGGGGAUGAUGUUAUACAUAGAAUUACAGCUCGCUAACUCAUAACUCCUAAAGGAAGGUUUCGCACAAAUGGCUGGGUUCAUUGGACUGUUUUGCGACCUUUAUGAUCAAUCUGAGAACCGACCUUGUCUGAAGGAGCUGGUCUAGUGUAAAGCUCCCAUGAUGUUCUGGUCACGACUGCAGGACUUUUGACAAUGGUAAUUUAAUUCCAUUGUGGCUGUUUUAUUGCUAUUGAAGAUCUGAACGGAGGGAACAGUUGCUUCUUCCGUUUUGUUCUGCUUCCAUAGAUGAGGUGGGGGUGGGGUAGGGGAGAGACGCUUCAAAUAAUAUGAAUGACAGCGAUGAGUCAGCAGUUGUCAACAAGCUAACGCCAGGCCAAUGAGGAAUUGGAGCAGAUUGAGUUGCAGCUGAGAAUGUAGGUGACAGGAGUCAUCACCUUGGAAUUUAAAGGCCUGUCAACCCAGCAAAUGCUUUCUAACCACAGGAGUUUCAUGUUAACCUCUACUCAGCAUCCGUUUAGAAGCUGCAAGCAACCUCCGGCUUUGAAACAGAGCAUCUAACCGUCAGAUACCGCCAUUCUUUGUACUCUCACUUGACACUUGCUUCAGAGUAAAAAUCCAUCGGACCACACAGUUAAACAUUUAAGCUGAAAUCCUAUAUAUCCACGGGAAUAAGCCCCACUUAACUCAAUGGGAUGUAUUUCUGUAUGGGAUCAUUAGAGAUGAAGAGGUGGUUUGGCAUUUGACAGUUCAGAAAGGAGAACGGAACAAAUCUUAUUUGUUCAUUCCCAAUAUUUAGAGACUCCCUUCUCAGCACAGGAAGCAAUUUAAGGAAUCAGCAACAAAACAAUUCCUCCGUCAAAUAAUAUACAUGUUUAAAAGAAACAAAAACCACAGGUAGAAACAUUAAUUCCAUAAAUAGGAGUUAGAAGCUGCAAACAACCUCUUGCUUUGGUAAAAAGGAAAGCUUUUAGGAAUUGUCAAACAAUAGCCAAGCAUUUAAACGAAAGCUUUUAAUUCUGUUUCUUAAGAGUGUAGCUAAUGGCAGAAUUAGGCUAAAGCUGAAAAUCUUUGCACAUUUUCUACCCAAGAAAAAUGAUACUUUCUUGUACUGGGCAUUUUGGUCCUCGCAGAAAACGCAUCGGACUCAGAGACAGUCCUGACACCUCAAGCAAUUAUGAUGUGAACUGCUGUGAUGACAGCUGGCAUUUAUUUCCUUUAUGUGUUCCUAUUCCUGUUUUCCAAUAAGAGAAUCUAGGCAAUACGGCUUCAUUGAGAGGGAAGAAAGCAAAACUGUGCUGAUGGAAAGAGUUGCUAGGCAGUCAAGACUGAGCUGCAGACAACUGGCAGCCAGGAGACAGGGUCCAGCUAUUUGGGCACAAAAAUUAAAGUAAAAAGUAAAAAUAACAUUAUCCCUGAAGCUAACUCCCAUUUAAAUGAGCAUAGGAUUGCAACAGAAACUAAGAUGUGGAAAAUACUGAAUGCAUUUUAUUUUUUGCAUGCGGAAGAAUACAUUUAGCAGGGGACUAGCAAAGACCCUCCUCCAUUUCAUUUCCCCACAUUCUUUUUUUCAUUGGGUUUUAUAAACAAGAAUAAUGUUACACAAAUAAGUAUACCAAGAUUUCUCAUGUCAAUUGUAUAUCACAAAUAUAGCAUAAUAAAUGUGGAGUAAUAUCUACAACAUAUGGUUCAUUAUUAGUAGUCAAUGUAUAAGUUCCUGGUUAAUGAAUUGGUUUGAACAAUUAGGAAGAAAAGAGAGGGGGGAGGGGAAUGGUAAGUGGAGUGGUGUCAGGUGGUUAUGCUUCUGUUCUUCUACUUAGUGUAUGUGUGGGGUUUUGUAUCAGCGUUACUUGUAUGGGUUCUCUUACUAUUCACUCGUUGUGUUUCCUUGGUGGUGAGAAAGAUUAUGGGUAGCCUAGGGUGUGGUUGUUCAUUUUUGGUUGGCUGUAUUGAGAAUUGUUUUUGUGUGUGAGCAGGGUGUGACUGUGUAUUUUUGAAUCUGGUUAGCCAGAUUGAUUUGUAUGCUGUAGGCGGAUUCUUGUUGUUGUCUUGUUGGGCUGUGUAUGUGAUAAAGGGGAACCAUACUGGGAUGAAGGCAUCUUCUUCUAUUUGUCCCUGUGUCAGAUUAUUGCAUGAGUAGGCAAACUAAGGCCCGGGGGCCGGAUCCGGCCCAAUCACCUUCUAAAUCCGGCCCGCGGAUGGUCUGGGAAUCAGUGUGUUUUUACAUGAGUAGAGUGUGUGCUUUUAAUUAAAAUGGGUUAUUUGUGGGGCCUGCCUGGUGUUUUUACAUGAGUAGAAUGUGUGCUUUUAUUUAAAAUGCAUCUCUGGGUUAUUUGUGGGGCAUAGGAAUUCAUUCAUUUCCCCCCCAAUAUAUAGUCUUGCCACCCACAAGGUCUGAGGGACAGUGGACCGGCCCCCUGCUGAAAAAGUUUGCCGACCCCUGGUUUCUUGGUUAGUUUUUCUAAUAAGGCUGUUUCCCAUACCAUUUGAUACCAUUGGCCCAUGCUUACUCCUGACAGGUCUCUCCAGUGUCUGGCUAGGAUGUUUCUGGCUGCUGAAUUUCCCCACAUUCUUGUACUAUAAGGAAGAUCUGGAAGAUUACCUGCAACUACAUUCAUCUGCAUAGCACAGGCAUCUGAUCUCUAUUUAUAGUGGCAUGAGCACAACUGGAACUGCAGAGGUCACAAGCCGAGAUGAUUAAUAGUCAGCAACUACUGAUCCGUCAGAAUGCAGUUGCACACAACCAGUUUCCAACUUUUCCCCGAAACACCCAUGACUUGCUUAAGGCAUCUUUUGCUUGGCUGAGUUUGGCGCCUGGUUAAGCCACCCAUCGUGCUUUUUUGUGUAAAUGAGUAGCAAGUGUUCUGAAGACAAUGAGCCUUCCUUCCUGGCUAAUCUGCUUCACUGGCAUAAGUUGCCAGACACAAUCAUAGAAGGGACUGUGAGGGUCAUCUAGUAAAAUCCCCUGCAACGCAGUUGCACUUAGACGACAGAGCACUUUGAUUGGCUUUAAUUGUGCAAACCUAAAGUCCUGCUCUGCGCUUGAAGCCUUCCAGCUGAAUAGUGGCAGUCUGCAAGCACCCAUAAAGCAUUCAGCUGUACUCCAUGUUCUGUGCUCUGCUCAGAAGCAAGUGUACUGUUCUUUGAUAAGAUCCCAGCAGAUAUUUCCCUUCUUAAUGCUAUUAGGCUACAUGUUUUAUGGCUCUGAUGGUUUUUCUUUGCACAAUAAGAACCUUUUCAUUGCUCAGUAAAGGAAAACGGCCGCCCUUAUUCCAAGCAACCCUAGAGUGGGCAAAACACAACUUAGCUGACCGUAUUCUUCAGAUUUUGAAGCAUGAAACGGAAAGUAAAUGAGUUCAGAUGUGCUUGCACCUUGAAUUUCUUAGCUCAUCAAAAGAAGAUGGAGAUUUUGUACAUUUGAGGUGAUGUUAGGAUUCUUUGGCUGCAACGCUAUGUGUGGAUCAAAGCCAAAGGAUCCUACCCUCGCCUGCUUAUGUUGACCCGUUGCGCAGCUGCUAAAGACAAUGAACAAGACACAGUGGCUGAGCGAGACAUUGACUGCAGCUCAUGGUUAGGAAGGAGAGAGUUUAACCUUGAGCCCAAGUUUGGAGAGCAUCCUAAGCCGAUCCUUGGUUUAGGUCAGGAUGGGGUGGAGUGGGGUCAGUAAGAAGGAUAGGGAAGGAGCAAAGCUCUCUGGGAUCCUGCACAUCCAUGCGUUCUUGUGAACCAGUUUGGUGUACUGAGCUACGCGGACUGCAUUAUAGACCCUCUGUCCUUAAAAAUGAUGGCAACAUGAAAACAAAAUAAGGACGCCAUACAAGAAUGACUGAGUAGGUGUGCUGAAUUCAGUGGCUUACUCCUAAGCAAGAGUGCAACCUUAAGACGGGUACGUUAUUUGAGAGGGGGCCUGGGAUGGCCAAGUACAGGCAAGUCUUCAUGAGAGAUUGCCUUGUGCCUUUUCUCCCCCACCCCCCUUUUUAUAAUUUUUAUUGAUUUUAAACACUUUAUCAAAACAAAUAAAAACAUUUUAAAAAAACAAAUAACAAAUGACCUAUAUAAAAAAACAAAAAAACUCCCAAAACCAG